rnacentral:rRNA from 1 species
GAGGAAUAUUGGUCAAUGGAGGCAACUCUGAACCAGCCAUGCCGCGUGCAGGAUGACGGUCCUAUGGAUUGUAAACUGCUUUUGUACAGGAAGAAACCUCCCUACGAGUAGGGACUUGACGGUACUGUAAGAAUAAGGAUCGGCUAACUCCGUGCCAGCAGCCGCGGUAAUACGGAGGAUCCGAGCGUUAUCCGGAAUUAUUGGGUUUAAAGGGUUCGUAGGCGGUUGGAUAAGUCAGUGGUGAAAUUUCUUAGCUUAACUAAGACACGGCCAUUGAUACUGUUUGACUUGAAUAGUAUGGAAGUAACUAGAAUAUGUAGUGUAGCGGUGAAAUGCUUAGAUAUUACAUGGAAUACCAAUUGCGAAGGCAGGUUACUACGUACUUAUUGACGCUGAUGAACGAAAGCGUGGGGAGCGAACAGGAUUAGAUACCCUGGUAGUCCACGCCGUAAACGAUGGAUACUAGCUGUUCGGACUUCGGUCUGAGUGGCUAAGCGAAAGUGAUAAGUAUCCCACCUGGGGAGUACGUUCGCAAGAAUGAAACUCAAAGGAAUUGACGGGGGCCCGCACAAGCGGUGGAGCAUGUGGUUUAAUUCGAUGAUACGCGAGGAACCUUACCAGGGCUUAAAUGUAGAUUGACAGAUUUGGAAACAGAUUUUUCUUCGGACAAUUUACAAGGUGCUGCAUGGUUGUCGUCAGCUCGUGCCGUGAGGUGUCAGGUUAAGUCCUAUA